UACGAAGGGGGCUAGCGUUGCUCGGAAUUACUGGGCGUAAAGGGCGCGUAGGCGGACAGUUUAGUCAGAGGUGAAAGCCCAGGGCUCAACUCCGGAAUUGCCUUUAAGACUGCAUCGCUAGAAUUGUGGAGAGGUAAGUGGAAUUCCGAGUGUAGAGGUGAAAUUCGUAGAUAUUCGGAAGAACACCAGUGGCGAAGGCGACUUACUGGACACAUAUUGACGCUGAGGUGCGAAAGCGUGGGGAGCAACCAGG
rnacentral:rRNA from 1 species